rnacentral:lncRNA from 1 species
UGAUAACUAUGGUUACAGCUACUACAUUUUUCUCAAAGAAUGGUGAUAUAAACUUUAAUCAUUUUCAAGUAAAAAGGGACAAAAAUAAGAUAAAAUUAAAUUAAACGGUCUAUUAUUCAUGUUAAUCAACAAGCAAGGACAUUUGAAAUGUUGGCUCAAAAAAAAUUAAUAUUGUUUUGAAUGAAACUAAAGGAGGGAGGGAGAGGGAGAGGGAGGGAGGGAGGGAG